UUGAAGUCCUGACUUUUCAGGACGUAGCUCCCUGACUUUGAAUGUGUUCAAUUUCUCAGUGCUUCUGUUUCCUCCUUUGACAUCAUCCUGUCCUCCUAUGCCCAUUAGCAGGAGGAAAUCAUCCCCCACAACUCAAGCAUCCUGCUCCUGUGGUUUCCUGUCGCGUAGGUUCAUGCGAUGACUGAUGACUGUGGGAGAAAACUCCUGGGAGGAUUUCAUCCGGCAGUGGAAGAGUCAAUGCUGAGAGAAGAGACUGCAGAUUAGGGAUGGAAUCCAGGGCUUCACUCCUGUUAGGCUAAUGUUAACUGCUACUGAAUACACUUGAGUCAGCCUAACUAUGUGCCUGGAUUCCUGUGGGCCAUGAAUGAACCAUACACACAUCACUUCAGUCUUGAUGAAAAUCUGACUAAUGCAUUUGGUAUUUAAGGUCCUAAAGGUAAGUAAUAAUGUCAUGAAUGAUGCGAUAUAAUUGAAAAUUAAAUAAUUACAUAGCUCAUGGGUUUAGCUUGAACCUGGGACAGGUCCUUUUUAUUCACAAAGAGGUGGCCGGCCCAGCUUUAGAAACCAAGCAACAUUGACACUCAUGUGAAACCAUCGGCCAGAUUCCUUUGUGGCAAAGACUUCCUGUGAAGAAUAUCUUCAAAGCCUAGUAAAUGAUCCUUCUGUAUUGCAUAAUGCUUUCUAAUAAAUACCCUCUGUGGGAAGGAAUGAUCCCUGCACACAAAACUCUGUGUGUGUGUGUGUGUGUGUGUGUGUGUGUGUGUGUGUGUGUGUGUGUUGCUGAGGAUUGAAUUCUUAUGCAUGUUAAGCAUACACUCUACAACUGAGCUACAUUCCCAGCCCCCAACAAAAAUCUUAAAAGAGUUUUAAGAAAUGAAUCAGAAUGACCGAAGUGUGAGGUUCAUUCACUUUUCACCUACUUUCAGAACCAUGUGUGGCAACUAACUUAUCAAGAGAUAAGCCUAUGUAUGUACAAAGGUGAAAUGCUAAAGUUAAGGUAGUGUCCUAUGAUUC